GAUUGUAGUCUGNAACCCGACUACAUGAAGCUGGAAUCGCUAGUAAUCGCGAAUCAGAAUGUCGCGGUGAAUACGUUCCCGGGUCUUGUACACACCGCCCGUCACACCAUGGGAGUCGGAAAUGCCCGAAGUCAGUGACCCAACCGUAAGGAGGGAGCUGCCGAAGGUGGAGCCGGUAACUGGGGUGAAGUCGUAACAAGGUAAC
rnacentral:rRNA from 1 species